CCCUCCUACAAAGAUAUGUUGGUGGUUCCCUGUCUUUGGACACAUAAGAAUUGGAGGCAAAGAAAUGUGAACAUGGAGAAAUCUGGGGCCACCGUGCUACCUGCAGAUUCAAGAUCAACCAUUCCACACAC